CUGUACAGUGGAUGUGAGUCGCUGUGAAGAGUGAUAAUGCAGAAAAUCCCCUCACUCAGGAUGUUACCACUGAAUGCAAAGCAUCGCUGGAUGUUUGUAGCAAUCCUAUUUAAUGGGAUUUUGGUCAAGAACAACCUGGUUGGGAGCUCAGACACCAAUAACAUAUGGAGACAAAAGAAUGUACUGUUUACCAGUGCCAAAGAGUCAUCAAAUCAGUUUCUAUCUG